AUGUGUGUUUGUUUUGUUUUGUUUUUUCUUUUUUCUUUUUGGUACCGGGGAUCUAACUCGGGUCCUUGCACUUGCGCAGCAGGCGGCGAAACCACUGAGCUAAAUCCCCGGCCCAAUAUCCACCUGGGUUAUCAGGCUCCUGAGUCCAGUAUAAAUUUACUCCUAAUGAUUUCAAACCCAUCAGUAAAAUAUGAAGAUGCUGUGGAACCUGUGUGUACCACGAUGAGGGGCUUGGCAGCCUGUGGGAGCUGUAUGGGGUGCAGGGCAGUGCAUGAAGCUGGAGCCCAAGAGGCAGUGAUGCCGGGAAUGCAGGACCCUGGGUACAUGAGUUGGGCUUAGGGUUUCAGUCUGUACCUGUAAAAUGAGAAAAUGAAUUAAAUGUCUCAAAUAUCUACACAUCUGUAGUG
rnacentral:lncRNA from 1 species